rnacentral:rRNA from 1 species
GAUGAACGCUAGCUACAGGCUUAACACAUGCAAGUCGAGGGGCAGCAUGGUCUUAGCUUGCUAAGGCCGAUGGCGACCGGCGCACGGGUGAGUAACACGUAUCCAACCUGCCGUCUACUCUUGGACAGCCUUCUGAAAGGAAGAUUAAUACAAGAUGGCAUCAUGAGUCCACAUGUUCACAUGAUUAAAGGUAUUCCGGUAGACGAUGGGGAUGCGUUCCAUUAGAUAGUAGGCGGGGUAACGGCCCACCUAGUCUUCGAUGGAUAGGGGUUCUGAGAGGAAGGUCCCCCACAUUGGAACUGAGACACGGUCCAAGCUCCUACGGGAGGCAGCAGUGAGGAAUAUUGGUCAAUGGGCGAGAGCCUGAACCAGCCAAGUAGCGUGAAGGAUGACUGCCCUAUGGGUUGUAAACUUCUUUUAUAAAGGAAUAAAGUCGGGUAUGCAUACCCGUUUGCAUGUACUUUAUGAAUAAGGAUCGGCUAACUCCGUGCCAGCAGCCGCGGUAAUACGGAGGAUCCGAGCGUUAUCCGGAUUUAUUGGGUUUAAAGGGAGCGUAGAUGGAUGUUUAAGUCAGUUGUGAAAGUUUGCGGCUCAACCGUAAAAUCGCAGUUGAUACUGGAUAUCUUGAGUGCAGUUGAGGCAGGCGGAAUUCGUGGUGUAGCGGUGAAAUGCUUAGAUAUCACGAAGAACUCCGAUUGCGAAGGCAGCCUGCUAAGCUGCAACUGACAUUGAGGCUCGAAAGUGUGGGUAUCAAACAGGAUUAGAUACCCUGGUAGUCCACACGGUAAACGAUGAAUACUCGCUGUUUGCGAUAUACAGCAAGCGGCCAAGCGAAAGCGUUAAGUAUUCCACCUGGGGAGUACGCCGGCAACGGUGAAACUCAAAGGAAUUGACGGGGGCCCGCACAAGCGGAGGAACAUGUGGUUUAAUUCGAUGAUACGCGAGGAACCUUACCCGGGCUUAAAUUGCAGAUGAAUUACGGUGAAAGCCGUAAGCCGCAAGGCAUCUGUGAAGGUGCUGCAUGGUUGUCGUCAGCUCGUGCCGUGAGGUGUCGGCUUAAGUGCCAUAACGAGCGCAACCCUUGUUGUCAGUUACUAACAGGUUCUGCUGAGGACUCUGACAAGACUGCCAUCGUAAGAUGUGAGGAAGGUGGGGAUGACGUCAAAUCAGCACGGCCCUUACGUCCGGGGCUACACACGUGUUACAAUGGGGGGUACAGAGGGCCGCUACCACGCGAGUGGAUGCCAAUCCCAAAAACCUCUCUCAGUUCGGACUGGAGUCUGCAACCCGACUCCACGAAGCUGGAUUCGCUAGUAAUCGCGCAUCAGCCACGGCGCGGUGAAUACGUUCCCGGGCCUUGUACACACCGCCCGUCAAGCCAUGGGAGCCGGGGGUACCUGAAGUGCGUAACCGCGAGGAGCGCCCUAGGGUAAAACUGGUGACUGGGGCUAAG